rnacentral:rRNA from 1 species
AGUCGAACGGUGGUAGCAAUACCAUGGUGGCGCACGGGUGCGUAACACGUAACUAACCUACCUAGAACUGGGGGAUAGCCCGCCGAAAGGCGGAUUAAUACCGCAUAAGCUCUUUAGCCGGCAUCGGCUGAUUAGUAAAGAUUUAUUGGUUUUAGAUGGGGUUGCGGGUCAUUAGCUAGUUGGUUGGGUAACGGCUGACCAAGGCGACGAUGACUAGGGGAGCUGAGAGGCUGGUCCCCCACACGGGCACUGAGAUACGGGCCCGACUCCUACGGGAGGCAGCAGUAGGGAAUAUUGGGCAAUGGACGAGAGUCUGACCCAGCCAUGCCGCGUGCAGGAAGAAGGCUUUCUGAGUCGUAAACUGCUUUUGACAGGGAAGAAUAAGCUGGUCGUGACCAGUGAUGACGGUACCUGCAGAAUAAGCACCGGCUAACUCCGUGCCAGCAGCCGCGGUAAUACGGAGGGUGCGAGCGUUGUCCGGAUUUAUUGGGUUUAAAGGGUGCGUAGGCGGCCCGUUAAGUCCGGGGUGAAAGCCCGUUGCUCAACAACGGAACUGCCCUGGAUACUGACGGGCUUGAGUACAGACGAGGUUGGCGGAAUGGACCGAGUAGCGGUGAAAUGCAUAGAUACGGUCCAGAACCCCGAUUGCGAAGGCAGCUGACUAAGCUGUUACUGACGCUGAGGCACGACAGCGUGGGGAGCGAACAGGAUUAGAUACCCUGGUAGUCCACGCCGUAAACGAUGGAUACUCGCUGCGAGCUAAAGAUUGUUCGUGGCUUAGGGAAACCGAUAAGUAUCCCACCUGGGGAGUACGCCGGCCACGGUGAAACUCAAAGGAAUUGAC